rnacentral:lncRNA from 1 species
UGGAAAAGAAAGAAACUUAAUUAAAAGGAAAAAUGGGUUACCCUUAUUUUCACGUGAUUGAGAAAAGGGGGUGGAAUCCCUAAAAUACCAUUUCCCUUACCUUCUUCUCCAGCGGUGGCAAUGGCGAGCAAGGGACUCACGCCGGUGAAAGAGACGAUGACGACACUGCUUCGAAGUGCUAUCUCCCUUCCUUCUUUCUUCUCCGUCCUUCUCAUCUCAGCGGCACCGGCAUAGGGAACGGUUUAUGGCUAAACCGAGCUCACCGAAGAGACCCACCGAUGGUGAAGCCUCAAAGCCACCAAGCUUCUUCGUUUAUGGUAGUGGGCAACCGAGAGCGAGACGUCACUGGUUCGUGAUGGUGGUGAUUCGCGGUGAUUCGGUUCCUUUUGCAUUAACGACGAGGUGGACGACAAGGUAGGAUUGAUUUCAUCAUUUCCUUCCAAUUUCGCACUUCCUAUUAUAACAUUAUGACCUCCUUCUUGUAUCGAUUCUGAUUCUUCUUUAAAGCUUGAUUCUAUUUCUCUGUUUCGGAGAUUAUUGAAUUGGUGAAUCUGAAUUAUGUUAAUUGCUUGUUGAUUGGAGGAUGAGUAUAUGGCUUGUAUACUCUUUUUAAGCGUAGGAUUAUGCUCUCUGCUUUGUUGUGCGUAUGUGCUAUCUCUAUGUGUUGCACGUAUCCCAUGUUCUUCUCUUUAUGUGUUGCACGUAUGCUCUGAUAGAACUGUGUAUAUGGCUAUUUUCUUUGGCCUUUCCAAUUUGGAAUAUGUUCUAUGAUUUGGUUGGUGUUGUUCUGGAAAUGAGUUUGGUAAAGAUGAGAACCUAUGCCUGGCCACCAAGGCUUCUAGCCAUAUCAAAAAAAGUUACAUAAACCCCCUUCUGGCAAGUGUUUGUGCACACGGCUAGAAUUCCACUUCCCAUCACAACAAUCUUUAAGAGGGUGCUACUCUUGUUUAUGCUAAUGAUGGUAAGGACUAAAUUAUUAUUGUUUCCUACACGGGGUCAUGGAAUGAGGAUUUUUGGAUUGUUGGUUACCAAACAUGGCAAAGGGGAUAAGGGUGGAUGAGAUGGUUUUAUAUGCUAGGAUAAUAUCAGUAUGAGAUUGGAGAAGAGAUAUGUAUAUGUGAAGGUGUUGCUGUGUUGCACCUUUGAGGGGAGAUUUGGGUUUUUUCUCUUCUCUCUCAUAUCAGUGACGUGACUAAUAAAGAGGAGAAGCUGAGAUUAGAAGGAUGUGUUGUGAAGCAAUAUUAUGGAGGAGGUAACAUAAAAAAUAAGAGAAUGUGUAUAUCCCCCUAUAACUGUAUAUGAUAGCUUGUUCUCCCCCUCUUUUCUGGUAUUGUGCUGACCCCUUUUAUAGCUGGUUAUGGGUCAUUUGUUGGUUUGUGAAAACCUUAUGGCUUGCCCAAAAUAUGUAAAGUGCCAUGACCCUUUUGGUUUUCGGAUUUGAUGUAUUAAAAGCUUCUCAUGAAUGCUGCCAUUUAUGCUGAUUAUGACUGUGUGUAUGUGUAACUGUAAGGGGCAUAACCUCUGGUUUAUCAUUGCUUCUUUUACGUGUAACCUUUGGAUGGUUGCUAUUGAUAUUUUUGCACUUAUGUUGAAUAUGUAACUGAAGGGAAAGAUGCCAAUAGCAAUGAUUCCUGUUUGCAUCUCUUUAUUGCCAUCUUUUACAAUUCUUCUGAUUAGGAUUCUCGGCUAAAUCAUUUUCUCUCCUUUUUUACAUUUAAUAAUGGUUCGAAAUGUAACAGUCUGUAGUGGUAGAAUAUAUGUUUUAUCUGACAUUUGGUUUCCUUUGAUAUCAGGUUCUCAACGUGGCUAAUAAAGAGUCAUGCUCUUGGAAACUUGAAGUGUUGUUGAAGCUACACCACGUUCUGCUGAUGAAUUGAGGAAUUUACCCAAAGCAUGAUCAGGACCUGGCUCCCAUUCUGGACACCUUACAGUGUUACGUCCAGCUACCUUUCCAUUUGCAACAUUUGUGACACUGUCAUCCCAAGAACUUUGUAGAAUAUAGAUUUUGUAUUGCUUCUAAGAGUUCAGGCACUGUUUUCUUUGUAUCCUCAUUAGCAACUUCAAUGGCCUCCAUAGGAUAUUUGUAAAGGGAUGGUGAAUGAGAGAUGAUACAUUCAUACACGUGAUGAAAUGAGAGUUUUAAGCAUUUUCAAAACAUAUGAUAAUUUUCUUGCGACUUUCUUUCUUGAAUAUGCAAGUAGUCUAUUAUUUUCUUGCCA